AGCGAACGCUGGCGGCAGGCCUAACACAUGCAAGUCGAGCGCCGUAGCAAUACGGAGCGGCAGACGGGAGAGUAACACGUGGGAACGUGCCCUUCAGUUCGGAACAACCCAGGGAAACUUGGGCUAAUACCGGAUACGUCCGUAAGGAGAAAGAUUUAUCGCUGAAGGAUCGGCCCGCGUCUGAUUAGCUAGUUGGUGGGGGAACGGCCCACCAAGGCGACGAUCAGUAGCUGGUCUGAGAGGAGGAUCAGCCUCACUGGGACUAGGACACGGCCCAGACUCCUACGGGAGGCAGCAGUGGGGAAUAUUGGACAAUGGGCGCAAGCCUGAUCCAGCCAUGCCGCGUGGGUGAUGAAGGCCUUAGGGUUGUAAAGCCCUUUCGGCGGGGAAGAUAAUGACGGUACCCGCAGAAGAAGCCCCGGCUAACUUCGUGCCAGCCGCCGCGGUAAAAC
rnacentral:rRNA from 1 species